UCUCCGCCCCCCUCCCUACUCACUCUCUCUGUCUCUCUCUAAAAAUACAUAAAUAAAUAAACUUAAAAUAAUACCCAUUAAUAGCUCACCUCCUCUGACACCCUUCCAUUUAAUACUCAAAAAGGAAUCAGCUUGCAUUGCUGUGCACCCACUUUGAUGGUGGGUCUCCAGUAAGGUGGCUAACUUUGUUUGCAAAUGGAGAAAAUGCCUAUCGUGGCGGGUUGCUCCAAGACCCAAAUAUAAAAAAUAUCAAAAAACACCGAGAAAAAAGUCCAGCAUGUGGCAGACUCUUGAUCAGCCAUACCUUGAGUUGCGCUGCUCUGGAGAAUAAAGAAGAUACGGUGAACCGACAGGAGGCAAAGUUGAUGGAGAGAGCUCAUCAGCAGGAGGGGGCAAAGCUCAUGGUCUAGGUGGCUUUUAAAUUCUCCUCUCUGGGAUAUCAGGAAAGUCUGACAGUAUGAAGAUGCCCCUUGCAGAGAGCCUGGUCACCACCACGAUACCCUAUAAGGCUGUCGGUCCAACCGCACCCAUGAAAGUUGCCAUCUCGUCAAGGAAACAGGCCUGGAUGCGACAGGCCUGCGGAGGAGUCUUGGGUCCUGGUUGACACUCACCGGUGGCCGGUUCGCGAAGGUUCCUGCCAAUGGGGCCCGGGUCAGCGAGAAGAGGGACGACGUCCACCCGGUUCCCGCUGGGGCUGUUGGAAUCUCGGAGUCUGGGGACAGCAGUGCCGCCUCCUCACCCAGAAGACCCCCGACGCCCGAUCCUGGGGUGAAGGGCCCACGCCGUCCGGUCGAGGCCCUUCGCCGCCGUGUGUCAGCGGCACCCACGGGGUGGGUUCUCCCCGCCUCACGCUCUGGAAGCUGGAUCCUCAGGCCAGAUGCAGCAAAGCCACUUAAGCAACUGCUCUGCUCCCAGGCAGCUUUGAAAGCAUGGGAGCUGGAUUCCGAGCGUUCCCUGGUAUUUAUCUCUGGCUAACGAAGAUGCUUUAAUGACUAUUAGUAGACACGUUAUGACAACAACUCUGAACUUGAUGAAUCACGUAGACUGUUUGCCGGGGCUUUUCACACACUGCUCUGAACAAUACCGAGUCCUUCCCAGACGUCACUUUAAAUACCUUUAGCUUUCUCCGGGAUGUCACGGAAAGCAUGUCUUUAAUAAAUGUUCGGGUCUCACGACUAUAUUCUGCUGGGACAAGCCAGAUGCUUCUUUGCUUCUGUCCCUUCGCAGAUGUUUUGAACGAGAAACCAGAGUUGAUGCUAAACCUUAGGGAAGUAAAGCCUGUGAGGUAUAACCAGAUAAGGUAUAGCGUUGAAGAGAUUAUUUACUCUGAUUUUUUUUUCUAAGGCAAGGUUACGCUGUAGCUUUAUAAUUUCCAGGGGAUGUAGAAAGUUCCAAGGACAUCCUGUUAAGUGUUAUUAUUACGGUCUCCAGAUGAGAAAACUCAGGACCUUCUUGUUAAAGGAAGCAUAGCCUGUCCCUGGCAGAGAUGGGGUGAGGUCAUGUGAUAACCCAGUGGUCCGCUCAUCAAAACCCAGCGGAUUGUGACUCUAUCCUCACUGUGAUGAGACCAAGAUCCAGCACCCUCUCAGCCUGGCCCAAUAGGGACAGAGGGAUGGGCUGUAAGGAUCUGGGUACGAUCAUCGUAGAAACAUCACGGUCGUCACGGCAAAGUCUCCCACACGAGCAUUUUCCUGAGCUGGAUAUUUUUUUAAUCUGCUGUUUUUCAUCUUUACCGCUUUCUUAACUCAGUAGCUUUCCCUGCCUUUUCGACUCGAGCGACUUUUGCGGUUAGAUCAUGAGAGGUGGCAAAAAAGAAAACUAGGAAUUAACUACGGAGGCCCCAAAAUUGCAGUCCUCUAGAUUCAAAUACCUGCAUACGCAUGCGUGUGUGCACGAAUUAACAAGUCAGUGACAGGGAGGUCACUUGUUUAUCUUCGUACAAAUCUUCACAGUGUGUUGGCGAUGAAAGCUUAAGCACAAAUGGCGCAUUUAGGGGCAUCGGGGUGUGGGAUCUCAGUGAGCCUGCAUGGUUGGUGUGAGAUUUGGGGGUGUUUGACAGCAACA